UCACUUUAGUAGCAAAUAUACUGAGUUUGGAACUAUACAGACAAAAUUAGCAUAACCUCUGGACAAAAUGCAAUAGAAAUUAAUAAAGCAUUCCAUAUUUUA